AUUGAACGCUGGCGGCAUGCCUUACACAUGCAAGUCGAACGGCAGCGGGGGAGAAGCUUGCUUUUCCUGCCGGCGAGUGGCGAACGGGUGAGUAAUACAUCGGAACGUGCCCUGUAGUGGGGGAUAAUGAGUCGAAAGAUUAGCUAAUACCGCAUACGACCUGAGGGUGAAAGUGGUGGGCCGCAAGGCCUCCUGCUAUAGCAGAGGCCGAUGUCUGAUUAGCUAGUUGGUGUGGUAAAGGCCUACCAAGGCGACGAUCAGUAGCUGGUCUGAGAGGACGAUCAGCCACACUGGGACUGAGACACGGCCCAGACUCCUACGGGAGGCAGCAGUGUGGAAUUUUGGACAAUGGGCGAAAGCCUGAUCCAGCAAUGACGCGUGUGUGAAGAAGGCCUUCGGGUUGUAAAGCACUUUUGUCCGGAAAGAAAUGGCUCUGGUUAAUACCUGGGGUCAAUGACGGUACCGGAAGAAUAAGGACCGGCUAACUACGUGCCAGCCGCCGCAGUAA
rnacentral:rRNA from 1 species